rnacentral:pre_miRNA from 1 species
UGUGUGGGGGGGGCGUCCCUCAGCCUGGAUUGUGAGAAGGUGCAGGCCAGGCUGAAGGACCCCACUGUUGCAUG